ensembl:miRNA
ACUUUCUCCAUCUACCAAGAUGAGGGAGUGAGUGGGAGGUGGGAAGACUGCCCCAGAUGAUCUCUAACAUCCCUUGCAGUAUCC